AACGAACGCUGGCGGCAGGCUUAACACAUGCAAGUCGAGCGCCCCGCAAGGGGAGCGGCAGACGGGUGAGUAACGCGCGGGAAUCUACCCAUCUCUACGGAAUAACGCAUGGAAACGUGUGCUAAUACCGUAUACGUCCUUCGGGAGAAAGAUUUAUCGGAGAUGGAUGAGCCCGCGUUGGAUUAGCUAGGUGGUGGGGUAAAGGCCUACCAAGGCGACGAUCCAUAGCUGGUCUGAGAGGAUGAUCAGCCACACUGGGACUGAGACACGGCCCAGACUCCUACGGGAUGCAGCAGUGGGGAAUAUUGGACAAUGGGCGCAAGCCUGAUCCAGCCAUGCCGCGUGAGUGAUGAAGGCCCUAGGGUUGUAAAGCUCUUUCACCGGUGAAGAUAAUGACGGUAACCGGAGAAGAAGCCCCGGCUAACUUCGUGCCAGCAGCCGCCGCCGUAA
rnacentral:rRNA from 1 species